GAUGAACGCUGGCGGCGUGCCUAAUACAUGCCAGUCGAGCGAACGGACGAGAAGCUUGCUUCUCUGAUGUUAGCGGCGGACGGGUGAGUAACACGUGGAUAACCUACCUAUAAGACUGGGAUAACUUCGGGAAACCGGAGCUAAUACCGGAUAAUAUUUUGAACCGCAUGGUUCAAAAGUGAAAGACGGUCUUGCUGUCACUUAUAGAUGGAUCCGCGCUGCAUUAGCUAGUUGGUAAGGUAACGGCUUACCAAGGCAACGAUGCAUAGCCGACCUGAGAGGGUGAUCGGCCACACUGGAACUGAGACACGGUCCAGACUCCUACGGGAGGCAGCAGUAGGGGAUCUUCCGCAAUGGGCGAAAGCCUGACGGAGCAACGCCGCGUGAGUGAUGAAGGUCUUCGGAUCGUAAAACUCUGUUAUUAGGGAAGAACAUAUGUGUAAGUAACUGUGCACAUCUUGACGGUACCUAAUCAGAAAGCCACGGCUAACUACGUG
rnacentral:rRNA from 1 species